UUGUGUUUUAAUUAUUUCAAAAAAAAUAUAUAAAACAUUUGUCCUGGCCGGCUGUUUUCUUUAUUAUUUCAAAAUCGCCGCCGCAUAAGGCGCAAGAGAGACGAUGCCAAGACACUAGUGCCGCCGGAAUUUUUCAAUGGCCAGAACGGAGGCUUCUUCCCCUUCUCCACUGUAUCAAUACCUCUAAUACAUAGUGUUGUUCCUCCAUUAGUAUUUAGUACCUUUGUAUUUCAAUAUUGAAAAAUCUCUAGACAUUGGAUUAGCAUUUUAACAUUUUAAGUUGAUAAAUAAUUAAAUAAAUUAUUCUUUUAAAUAAAAAUUGUGAGAAUUGUUAUCUAGAUGAUGAAAGUCUUUUACUUGUGUCUUAUGCAUUUGGACAGUUCAGGAUAUGAUAAAAGAAAGCAACAAUGUUUAAACUUGAUACUUGAUAGAACUCUCAAGUCUGGGUUAUUGUGAAGAUGAAGUGCAAUGUCAUAUUAGAACUUGACUUAGUUUGACUGAAUCUGGAUCUUUCCAUUCUGUAGGUUUCUUAGUUUUAGUAGGUGGAGAUCCUGGUGUUGGCAAAAGCACAUUAUUCUUGCAGGGAUGAGAUGAAGCAAAUUGUGACGUCUGACCUUAAGCAGUUGCUGGGUGUAGAGGCCAGGGAGAGCCACAGUUUGUGAAUCAUGUCUACUGGAGUAAAGCAUUUCCUUUAUAUGGUCAUGACUAUGAUUCAGUCUUGGAUGCGGUUGAAAGCAUGGAUAAGAACAUCCCUGGAUGUUUCUAUGUAGGUAACCAUAAAGGAGGACUAUCUGUAAGCAAAGCAAUUUCAUUUGGUUGCAGUGGAGCUGAUCUUGUAAUCUUCAUCAAUUAAGCCUUCAAAUCACCAAUGAAUGCAGUAGAUAAGGUGCCUUUCAUGUUCUUAUUUUAGUAUAUUUGUAUUUUUUUUUUGAAAUAUUCAAAUGCUAUUACUUUUGUAUUCUUUUCAUGUGCAUUUUUUAUCUUCUCUUUAAAAAAUUUCUAAUUGAUGUCAUGUGACUCGUGUCCCUUCCCAAACUGGCACUUUUGUAAUGAAGUUACUAUGCAAGCUCAGUUGUAGCUCCAUUUGAUAUGCAAUGCAAGGAUAUUAUUGUAUUAAUUGUGAGAUUAUAAAUAUUAAAUUGUAUGUGGGUGUGGUAUGAU